CAAAUACUAAAUCUGUUGUCAGAUCUGGCCUUAUCUUCUCGCUGCCUGGAUCCAAACCCUAGCCUAGCCUAGCCGCCUCUCUCUCCUGCUCCUCUCCUCUCCUCAGAUCUCCGACCACCACCACGGAAGGAUCCAUGGGCUCACCCUUCCUUCCUUGCAACCAACCCCCUGCCACCGUGCACCCUUCUUCCAUGGCGAUGGCGAUGGCGAUGGCGAGAGAGAUGGAUCUAGCCCCGCCGAAUCGAGACGCAUACCCGCCUCGCUGGCCGGACGGCAGCAACGUACCUCCCCUCACCCCGUCCAUGUCCAGAUGGGAAACAGCACGGUGGCGACCGGAGACUCUCACGGCGCUUGUUCCUCUUAUGGAUGGAUGGGUGACAGGGUUGGUUGGAUCUCUCUCUAUUUUAUGUUACACUAGUAUUACAGAUGGAUAUUUCCCAUCGAUCGAGUAAAACGAAUAUCCCAGCCGCAUCAGGCCCUGUUAGGCCGUCUCCUCUCCUGUGUAUGUAUGUCCCACCACUUCGGCAAGAUGGAUUUGCUUGUGUUUUAGAGGCCGUAUGCUCUGUGAAGGCCUCCAGCUCUGUUUUGUCUGAUGCAAAGCAACUUCCUUGAUCCUGGUAGUCGCUCUAUCAUCUCGUGAUUCUAUCAUCUUGAAAAGCAUUUCUUUCAUCCUUAUGUUUUAGAGGCUGCAUUUGAUGCACACUUGUGAAGGCCUCCAGCUCUGUUUUGUCUGAUGCAAAGCAACUUCCUUGAUCCUGGUAGUCGCUCUAUCAUCUCGUGAUUCUAUCAUCUUGAGAAGCAUUUCUUUCAUCCUUAUGAAUCCUACAAAUCAAGUCACUCCAUUGCUUGUGAGGUGUAGCCAAGAAGAAGACUAAAGUGUUGAAAUCACAGAAGACUAAAGUAUUGAAAUCUUCAUAUGAGUCUCACUUUUUUUAAAUCAAGUCGUCCCAUCGCCUGUGAGGUGUAGCUAAGAUACAACUUCAGUAUUCAGCAAGAUUAAAUAGCCAAGAAGAAGAGAGUGUAGUGUGGCCCUUCCUGGCACCUCCUCUAAGCUAAGCAUAAAGUGUUGUGAUACAAGUCUCAUUUUUUUUAAGAACAAGAAGAAGAAGGCGAAGGUGUAGUGUGUAGCCGUGCUCGUAGGGUCGCCCGCUGGGGAUUUCUUCUACCGAUACAAUAGUUUUCAAUUUCCUUACUGUACGUGUGUCUGGACCUUGGAUUCUUCUGGCUGUUUUUGAUAUGAUUCUCUCUUUCCCUGUGCAGGUAUGAAGGUGUACAAAUCUUGCCCAUGAACCCACUCUUCUUGGGUUCCAGCCAAAGCUGGGGCGUCCCAAGGUCCAUAGCUAGGCUAGGCUGUCCACAAAAUGAAUGGAGGGUGUGAAUGGCUCGGGCAGAUAAAAUAUAAUGUCCAGCAGCACAGGAUGAACUGUUAUGCAACACACCACUACACAAGGUAAAGUAAUACUCCCUCCGUCCGAAAAUACUUGUUGGAGAAAUGCAUAAAAAUGAAUGUAUCUAGAACUAAAAUACAUCUAGAUACAUUCAUUCCUCCGACGAGUAUUUCCGGACGGAGGGAGUACUACAGGAAAGGAUUACACUUUACUUGCUGUCGGGUGGUAUAUGAUACAUCAUACCUGUAGUGGUGGGGCACAUAUGAUUCUGUGCAUUGAUUAGUAUUCUGGUUUGCUAUCUCGAGACUACUUUUAGUGCCUAAUGCCUAUGGUUCUUAGUUAUUACUCCCUCCGCUCCAUAAUAUAGUGCCUAUAGAUUUUUUGAGAAGUCAAACUUUGACCAAGUUUGUAGAGAAAAAUAUUUAUAUCUAUAAUAGCAAAAAUAUAUAAUGUGAAACUACAUCUUAUGAUGAAUCUAGUGAUAUAUGUUUCGCACUCUAGACGUAAAUAUUUUUCUCCACAAACUUGGUCAAAGUUUUGUGAAGUUUGACUUUUCAAAAAAUCUAUAGGCACUACAUUAUGGAACGGAGGGAGUAGUACUCGCAAUUUAUAUUUGACGAGGUGUAUACCAUGUUAAGCUAGCGGCUAUAAAAGUUUUGCUAAUUUUAUCACAUAACCUUCAGGUUACAUAUGCAGUUUCCAUAAAUAAAACCUGAUGUGUAAAUCAUUUGUUGUGCAAGUAUCUAAAUUCGUAGUGAUGGAGAUUUUCGAAGCAAAUCAAAGGCUGGCUGGCUACCUUUCCCUUUAGUGUCCCCUUAGCACAUUGAGCACUCUACUGAUGACUGGCCCAACGCUUCACCUGAAAAAAUAAAUGAAAAAUGGCGUCAAGUAAUGAUGCAGGUCAGCUUUUUGCAGCAAUGCUUCAAGGAGAAUUGGUAAAGAAUAAUCUUUCCACCCUUCUGGGAUUUUAUCAUGAUUCAGUCUGCACAUAGAGUAUCCUAUUCCUAUCUGCCACAUUCAAUCAUCUAGAGUAGGAUACAAUGUUCAUACUUUGUAUACAACAAUUAUCUGUCACUAUAAAUGUAGAUGAAGAUUUAAUAUACUUGGCUUCAGUUGUC